GGCCAAGCGAGGCAUUGGUCCAGCACUGAUGGAAGUGACGGCAGGAGCUGGAAACGGGACAUUUCUGGGGUCAGCUGGAAGGAGAAGCAAGGAAAAAAAUAGAAGCUUCUUUAAGUUUUCCCGCUACCUGCAAUUCCUGAUACUACCAGCUCUUAACACAGCAGGCUGCCUCUCACCUCAAGGGCUUUUUGCAUACGGAAACAAUUUGGUGAGCAUUCUGAAGUCAGCUGAGCACACUCCUGUUGUGGUUUUAACCAGUACCUCCCACCGUUGUCUGUCGGCCCUCCCAUUCCGGCUCUGACAGGUUCUGGAGCUCUCUUCACUCCGUCACCAGAGGUCCGGUGCUCUCACCUAACCAGGUUACUUAACCGACCUAGAGAAGCUGAAGGAACUUCAACGUAUGUCUAGCCGGAGGCCUUCGGGUUCCUGAGGGCAGGAUGAAGAGCUCUCCCAAAGUGCCUGUGUUACUGGAGGACCAUGGUGUUGUCACUUCUUCAACCGGAUAACCCCACGAUAGGUGUUCAUGUAAGUUCCCUGAAAUUUCACUUCUGAUUUACCAGUGUUUCUCCCAGAGCUCCUGGCUCGGGGUCUUCUACAAAACAGACACACAGUGAAUGUUUGGGGAUGCAUAAAAUAAAUGAAUUCGUGAAAUAAAAAAAUGAACACAAGUAAAGGACUGGGGAAUAUUGAUUUAGGGAGAUCAGAAGGUAGCCGUGAUUCAGGGAGAUCAGAAGGUAGUCACUUCUCACAGUGGAGACCUUCGGCGGAAAGGCCUGCUUCAGCAAGGCUGAAAGGAAGGAGCCGAAUGAGCGACAGGGUGGUGCGGCAGGUGGAAGGAAUUCUUCAGAGGUAGAAAAGGGGGAGAUCGGCCUACACCGUGGUUUGUGGGAGUCAGGUUUUCCCCUGGAGUGUAAACACUGGCUGAGCUGACCGAGCCGGCCAUCAGUAGAGGGCAUUAGAAGCUCCAAGGGUGAGUUUGCACUGAUACAAGAUAAAUUAAGAAUUACUCUAUGUUCCCGAAAGAUUUAAGAACAGAACUAUAAUAGAAAGAGCACUGCAGUAAGAAGAGCAGGAGAUGGGAAUUUUUUUUACAUCUAAAGUUAAAUGUGCCAGUUUCUAGAAUUAAUUUCUGCACAACCUUGAGCAAAUUACUUAAUCUCUUUGAGCCUCGGUUGCCUGGGAGGAUGAAGUCAGCUGCUACAGUAAAGCACUUAGCCUGGUAGCUUGUGUAAAGAAAGGAAUAAUGCAAUAAAUGAUUGCUAUUACUGUCUCUUAGAGUUAUUGUUUUAAAUAAAAUAACACGUCGAAGCACUAAGUAUCUUAACAGAGGCUCGGUAAACUUUAAUUUCUUCCCUUCCAUAUGAGAAAUUUACACUAAGUGCUCUCCAAAAAAAAAAAUUAAACUAAAUGC